rnacentral:lncRNA from 10 species
ACCUUUUCAGCCCCUGCACCAACAGGGGUGAAGUUUUCACCAUGACAAAGAGAAGGAAGCUGGCUUAAUGAACACCUACAGUCCCCAGUGGCACUGACCACUACCCAUCUCUUCCACGAUCCUGUUUCCUCUACAGCCUUGGGCAGAAAACAAGGAGGCCUCCCUACCUCCACUUCAUCCCACACAGGAGUCUUGAUGCUGGGUGGGAGUCCAGGAGUCUGUCUAGGAAUCCAGGAAGGCUUCCUAGAGGAGGAGCCAUUGCAUCUGGGCCUUGAAGGAUGAAUAGAAGUUUCCUAGGCAGCGAAGGGGCCAGGUACUCAGAAGACCACAGACAAGACCCAGCCCCAUGGCCUGCCCCAAAGAGUUCACAUCUCAUAAAUGAUGCUUGAAUAAUAACAAUAAUAGUAACAGCUCCCACAUGCUGAGUGUGCGCUGCUAGGACACAGCAUGUGACAGGAAUUCAGUGCCUGAAUGAAUGAGCCAAUAAAUUAAACUUUCUC